ensembl:lncRNA
GGGAAGAGAGAGAAAAAAAACGACCUUUGUGUGUGUGCUUCAAAGGCUUGUAACCAUGGAAACCCCCAAAAACAGCCCCAGCCCUCGAAUCCCGGUGCCCCGAGAUGAUAGCGGCCUGUGGAUGAGGAUGGACUCCGACCCUCUGAUGGACCACACAGGGGGCCGCGGGCGGAAGCCCCGAGAGGCGACCACGGACCCCCCGCGUGGCCCGGCAGUGAUCACCAGAUGCUCAGGUGAAUAAUUCCAACGUGACCUUUACAAAGGGGUCAGCUGAAGAUAAUCCCAGUGGCUUAGGUUGGCAUCCUGGGGAGAGCCGGCUAAUGGCAACGCAGAGCGCAGCGGAGCAAGUGAACACCGAGCAGACGUCUACGGGCGGCGCAUCCCCGCCUGAAGUCUCCAUUCUACCUGAAGAACAAGACCUGACAUCAAUGGAGGGAGCAUGUUGUGAUCCAACCCAGAGACGCCAUCAUGGCAGAACAGCGGGCGGCGAGCAAUCGGAGCCUGAGGAUAUUUUGAGUGAGGGGCAGAAACGGUGCAGAGAGGCUCAAAGCAACAAGAACCCAAAACAGGUACCUUCAAACAUUGAGGAGAACUCUGAAAACACACAGAAUUUUGACAAAGAGGGAGAAUCAAUGUGUGGCUUUGCUAAGACGUACUCAGCCGUGCAACAUGCUGACUUUGGUGAAGAUUUUGAGUCCAAUGAGCCUCCGGAGCCCUCCAAAAGACCCCAAAACCCGACGGACGCAGCGACCUGUCGGCCGUACGUACCAGAGGUCCCAGUGGAGGAGUCCAAUGGACACUCCAUCUCCGACGGCUCCGAAGAGACAGGGCAGGGAGAUGGGAGCAGGAGAAUAUCUAAUGGUAUCCAGCAAGGAGAGCAGCUGCUUCAACGUCUGCAGCUGGUCCAGCUGCGUCAGGACGUGUCUCUACCCGGGAGCCCUGACGCCUCCCAGCAGGCUGUCCGAGAGACACGAGGCGAGACAAGGAGCGCACCUGGGAGUGACGUAGGCGAUUCGAAAGCAAGGGGAGCCCACUUGACGGGUGAGAAUGAGGAAGAAGAGAGCGGGGGAGAGAGAUGGAAGCCGAUGGCGGUGGAAGGGAGUGGGAGGUAUGCCGUGGAACUGGAGGCUGGGAUGUCUUUGUUAAUGCCGACGGUGCAGUUAGAGCAGCACAAGACCACCAUGGCAGAGGCAGGAGACUGUGAGGAAGAUCAAAGGGACCCCGGUGAAACCUCCUCCACCCAGAAUCCCUUUCUCUCCACCUGCCACCGACUCUCGGCCUCCGAGGCCUGGGUUGAGGGGCGGAGCCCCAGCGAGGCCCUGGGGAGCCUGCAGAGAGCAAGCGGCAUCUUCGACGUCGCCGAUGAUCCAGACGUGCUGGAGAUCCCCUUCAAGAACCAUAUUACGCUCGACCCCUUCCCCACCGAUGAUGGCGGCGACUGGCAGUUCUCCUCGCAGAAGAUGAAAAAGGAGAUAAGCCAGGAGACGCGGAGGGAGCUGGUGCUGGUCAACCAGGGCAAGAUCCCGGGGGGGUACAGCAAAGGAGAGGUCCACCAGCGGAAGGAGACAAAGCUCCUGUUCGAGGCCUUCCAGCAGAUCAACACGGAUGGUCCGGCAAGGCCCCCAAGACCCAUCGUGAAAGGUCACGUUUACCCCUCUGUGCUGGAGCGCACCCGCAGCAUGGAGAUGCUGUCGCUCAAAAGUCGGCCCGUCUGCAGAACACAAUCCUUCCGGCUGAUUAAGGAGAGCGAGAAACACGCAGAAAUCCUCAGGCCAUCGAGCCUAAAGAGCGGUUCUCCGGACAAAGCGCGCCCCUCUCACUCCGCAAGACACAAGGAGCGCGUGCAGCUGAGCGGUAGCGCGGACUCCGGCGGGGAUGCCGGGAGCAGAGACACGGAGGCCAACGGCCCGAAAGAAUGUCCCGCCGUCAGGGGAAACCCCUUCUUCAAGCUGCGCCCGGCCCUUGCUCUGAAGCCAGAGGUAGAGAAGGACAUCCGGGAGGCCAAGGAGAGAGAGGAAGAGCUGCGCAGACAGAGAUGCACCCUGUACGGGGAGAACGGGCCGAGGGGUGAAGACGGAGAGGGGUCAAGGUUCAAACCGACGCUCGCCACAGACGUCAGGAAACAAUUGAGGGGAAAACUGGAACGCGUAUGGCCGCCGCCCUCCAAGAAGGACCAGAAGAAUUCGGAGCAGACGCAGGAGGCAAAGGUUCACAGGGUGGGAGGUCAGAGGGCGUCUCUGUGGCAGCGCUGGGAGUCCGGCCUGAUCAACGGGAAGACGCCAAAGGAAAAAAAAUGA